rnacentral:rRNA from 1 species
AAGUCUGAUCCAGCCAUUCCGCGUGCAGGAUGAAGGCCUUCGGGUUGUAAACUGCUUUUGUACGGAACGAAAAGGUCUCUAUUAAUACUAGGGGCUCAUGACGGUACCGUAAGAAUAAGCACCGGCUAACUACGUGCCAGCAGCCGCGGUAAUACGUAGGGUGCAAGCGUUAAUCGGAAUUACUGGGCGUAAAGCGUGCGCAGGCGGUUAUGUAAGACAGAGGUGAAAUCCCCGGGCUCAACCUGGGAACUGCCUUUGUGACUGCAUAGCUAGAGUACGGUAAAGGGGGAUGGAAUUCCGCGUGUAGCAGUGAAAUGCGUAGAUAUGCGGAGGAACACCGAUGGCGAAGGCAAUCCCCUGGACCUGUACUGACGCUCAUGCACGAAAGCGUGGGGAGCAAACAGGAUUAGAUACCCUGGUAGUCCACGCCCUAAACGAUGUCAACUGGUUGUUGGGUCUUCACUGACUCAGUAACCAAGCUAACGCGUGAAGUUGACCGCCUGGGGAGUACGGCCGCAAGGUUGAAACUCAA